rnacentral:tmRNA from 1 species
GGGGCUGUAUUGCUUUGACGUUGAAAGUUAACAUUCUAAUUGGCAAGUCGUCUGAUUUGGCGUUACCGAAUCAACCUAUAACUGCAAACACAUUUGCAAGCAAGGUGCGAGCUUUUGUUGGAUCAUUCCAACUUAAUGCUUCACCUUCAUUCGCUUAAGUAAACUAAGCGACGCUGGGUUUUAAGACACCGAUACAAAAAUCCGGUGCUAUAUUUUUCGGUUAAGAUUGUUUGUUCUGACAAUGCAAAUAAUUCGAAAAUCGUAUGUCUAGACGAGUCGGCAUUUUGGUUUUUUUAAAGCCGAUCGUUGAAGGUAUUAAAGAGCCUAAGCUUGUAGAGGAUUAGAAUGUUUUUCAAACGGACCGGGGCUCAUACCCCGCAGCUCCACCA